AGAGUUUGAUCCUGGCUCAGGAUGAACGCUGGCGGCGUGCUUAACACAUGCAAGUCGAACGGGGAAACAAAAAGGAAGUUUUCGGAUGGAAUUAUUGUUUUCUAGUGGCGGACGGGUGAGUAACGCGUAAACAAUCUGCCUUAGAGAGGGGGAUAACAGAUAGAAAUAUCUGCUAAUACCGCAUAAGACCACAAGCAGGCAUCUGCAAGGGGUAAAAGGAGCAAUCCGCUUUAAGAUGAGUUUGCGUACUAUUAGCUAGUUGGUGAGGUAACGGCCCACCAAGGCGACGAUGGUUAGCCGGCCUGAGAGGGUGAACGGCCACAUUGGAACUGAGAUACGGUCCAGACUCCUACGGGAGGCAGCAGUGAGGAAUAUUGGGCAAUGGGCGAAAGCCUGACCCAGCAACGCCGCGUGAAGGAAGAAGGUUUUAGGAUUGUAAACUUCUGUUGUAAGGGAAAAAGAAAGUGAUGGUACCUUACGAGGAAGCUACGGCAAACUAUGUGCCAGCAGCCGCGGUAAUACAUAGGUAGCGAGCGUUAUCCGGAAUAACUGGGCGUAAAGGGAGUGUAGGUGGUGAAGCAAGUCUAUUGUGAAAGCCCUAGGCUUAACUUAGGGAUUGCAGUAGAAACUGUUUUACUAGAGUGCGAGAGAGGCAAGUGGAAUUCCUAGUGUAGCGGUAGAAUGCGUAGAGAUUAGGAGGAACACCAGAGGCGAAGGCGACUUGCUGGCUCGUAACUGACACUGAGACUCGAAAGCGUGGGGAGCAAAUAGGAUUAGAUACCCUGGUAGUCCACGCCCUAACCGAUGGAUACUAGAUGUGGAGUGAUCGACUCUCUCCGUGUCGAAGCUAACGCGAUAAGUAUCCCGCCUGGGGAGUACGGUCGCAAGAUUAAAACUCAAAGGAAUUGACGGGACCCCGCACAAGCAGCGGAGCAUGUCGUUUAAUUCGACGCAACGCGAAGAACCUUACCAAGGCUUGACAUUUAAUGCAUAAUAUGGAAACAUAUGAAAUUUAGAGUAGCAAUAUUAAAGGCAUUAGGACAGAUGGUGCAUGGUUGUCGUCAGCUCGUGUCGUGAGAUGUUGGGUUAAGUCCCGCAACGAGCGCAACCCUUAUCGUUAGUUACCAGCACUAAGGUGGGAACUCUAGCGAGACUGCCGUUGAUAAAACGGAGGAAGGUGGGGAUGACGUCAAAUCAUCAUGCCUCUUACGCCUUGGGCUACACACGUGCUACAAUGGCUAUUACAAAGAGAAGCGAAAUAGUAAUAUGGAGCAAAACUCAAAAAGAUAGUCUCAGUUCGGAUUGAGGGCUGCAACCCGCCCUCAUGAAGUUGGAGUUGCUAGUAAUCCCGGAUCAGAAUGCCGGGGUGAAUACGUUCUCGGGGUUUGUACACACCGCCCGUCACGCCAUGGGAGUUGGGGGGACCCGAAGCCGGUGAGCUAACCAAUUUAUUGGAGGCAGCUGUCUAAGGUAAAACCAGCGACUGGGGUGAAGUCGUAACAAGGUAGCCGUA
rnacentral:rRNA from 1 species